UAUGUUGAUCGUCUCUCGCAUAUCAAUAAGCGGAGGAAAAGAAACUAACAAGGAUUCCCCUAGUAACGGCGAGUGAAGCGGGAAGAGCUCAAAUUUGAAAUCUUAAAGGGUUUCCCUUUACGAAUUGUAGUUUAAAGAAGUGUUUUCUGUUGAGGUUUUGGUAAAAGUUCUUUGGAAUAGGACAUCAUAGAGGGUGAGAAUCCCGUAUUUGACCUUUACUUUCAACUUUGUGAUACACUUUCAAAGAGUCGGAUUGUUUGGGAAUGCAGUCCAAAAUGGGUGGUAAAUUUCAUCUAAAGCUAAAUAUUGGCGAGAGACCGAUAGCGAACAAGUACCGUGAGGGAAAGAUGAAAAGAACUUUGAAAAGAGAGUUAAACAGUACGUGAAAUUGUCAAAAGGGAAGCGUUUGACACCAGUGUUGUUUUUCUGAAAAUCAAUUAAAGAACUGUUUAUGCUAAGCUGUUUAGACUUUAUCAGCUAUCUGUUUAGUUUUGAGCUUUUCUUUAAUGCACUUUUCAGUUAACAAGUCAACAUCAAUUUCUUUUGCUGUAAAAAAGCUUGAGGAAGGUGGCUUGAGAUUCGUCUUAAGUGUUUAUAGCCUCUUGCCUAUGCAGUCGGAGAGAUUGAGGUCUGCAGCGUAGAUCCUUCGGGGCUAAAUGCAUUUGUGCUAAGUUAUAGCAUUUUAUAGACAACUUGUUGACUAUGAUUUGUCUUGUAGCUUACUCGCUUAUGUUAUUUUACCUACGCUUAGGAUGUUGAACGCGCACAGAGUCUC
rnacentral:rRNA from 1 species